UACGUAGGGGGCGAGCGUUGUCCGGAAUCAUUGGGCGUAAAGCGCGUGUAGGCGGCCCGGUAAGUCCGCUGUGAAAGUCCAGGGCUCAACCCUGGGAUGCCGGUGGAUACUGUCGGGCUAGAGUCCGGAAGAGGAGUGUGGAAUUCCUGGUGUAGCGGUGAAAUGCGCAGAUAUCAGGAAGAACACCAAUGGCGAAGGCAGCUCGCUGGGACGGUACUGACGCUGAGGCGCGAAAGCGUGGGGAGCAAACAGG
rnacentral:rRNA from 1 species